CCAAGACUAUCCCUUGAUAUCGAUAAGCCUAGCCCCAACCCUUAAACCCAUCAACGUUUGAAGUUUUUUUCUUUUUCAACAUUUAAGCUUGAAAAUGAAGAGAAUAUGAUUGACUUCAGCAUAUGACGACAACCCCGAGGAAGAAGGUGUAUAACUAAUGCGUGGAGUUCUAUGUGCUUUUUUUAUUUUAUUGCAAAGUUUCUAAUUUGUUUUUUGUUACGGUAGGGAAAGAAAACAUGGAAGCAUUUUGCAACUCAUAUUUAAGGUUCUUUUUGGUUACUACAUGUUAGCCUUUUCUUCUCUAUUUGUUUUCAUUUUUCGUCUUUUUGCUCUCUCUUUCACUCUAGAUGAAGCAUGACGUUUCUUUGAAGAAAAAAGUUCAUUCAAAAUGUUUUUGUUGUUUUUAAAGACCCUGUCUUGAUUUUCUUUUUUGUUGUUUUAGAUCUCCUAAAAUUUUUUUUUAUGAUUGUAUCUUUAAUUUCCUCUUUAGCUUUUUUGGAAAAGCGACAGGGAGUGCAGCAGCUGCCACCAUAUCACACCCUUUGGGCAACCCAGACCCAAUGAAUCGAAAACAUCAAUUAAUUUUGCUUUUUUAUUUGAUUGGCUAAUUUUGUUUGUUUUCUUUGAAAUUAGAAAAAUAAUAAUAAUAAAAAGACUGAACUUUGUUUAAGAGAGAUGAAAAAGGAUUAGGAGGUCGGUGGACUCAAUCCAUUAGGCACAAAAUGGCAUGGGAUGGUGCGGAACAGCAGCAUGAAGAGAACAGCCGAUGAAAGCCAUCGAUGGUGGUGAAAUCAGUGGCAACUAGGGUUGGCUAGGGAAGGUAAAUGAGAAGAAGAAGAAGAGGAAGAGGAAAAGAAAUAUAUAUUAAAA
rnacentral:lncRNA from 1 species